CUAACCCUGCACUAAUGCUGGMUUUUCUCCUCUGCAGAAAGCAGGCCAGGUCUCCAUAAGUCCCUCGACAAUAGUGUGAGCCCCUCGGCGCACGUAUUCCGCCGAAGGAAGUGGAGUCGUUGUCUGGUGGCCACUGCAAGCUCCCCGACGAGCCCAGGCCUCUGAGCAGCAGGAGGAGACAGGCUUCAGCCAUGAAGAUACCUUURUACCUAACCAGGCUCUUUCAGACAGUCCAAAAAACCCUGACCUCGGGCUUGGGUGACCCCAAAAAGGGUUUGGUUAAUCUUUGCGUUGGAUGGGACCUUGGGCGUUCAAAACUUGUUAGCCCUUUAUUUAUGAGUAGCAAAUAACAUAGCAGUUUGAAAAAAUAUAUAUAUUAUUUUUAAAGCUAUAUGCUGUACAGAUUUUGUUACAAGUGACUCUGUUCCUAUUUGUUCUGUAAGCUGCACAUUUUAUAAAGUUUAUAUCAGGAAGGGCCUGAAGAGAAGCCAAGGUAUUUAAGAAAAGUAGCGUUAACUUUUUCUGUUUCAGGGCUGUAUUUGACCUGGAGUUCAAGAUUAACGUUCUUCCUUAUGUCCUAGAUGUGUCUAUCAUAGCAGUAAUUUAUUUUCUUGGCUUAACACUUCUGUUUUAAUAAAAGCAAGUUCCUUGUUACAGCCAGUGGUUCCUUUCAGCUGAUUCUUGUGC